rnacentral:rRNA from 1 species
GCAAGUCGACGGGUAACCGGGGAGCUUGCUUCCGCUGACGACCGGCGCACGGGUGCGUAAUACGUAUGCAACCCACCACUUACAGGCGGAUAACCCGAAGAAUUUCGGAUUAAUACUCCAUACUAUAAUUGAAUCCAUGAAUUAGUAAUAAAGGUCUGGCGGUAAGGGAUGAGUAUGCGUGACAUUAGCUAGUUGGUAAGGUAACGGCUUACCAAGGCAACGAUGUCUAGGGGUUCUAAAAGGAUGAUC